UGAAAUAUGGUUUGGGAUGUUCUCAUAGGAUUUUGGGAGACAGGGUUCAUACACCUGCAAGCCAGGAUAAGGCCGACAUAGAUGCACUACAAUUCAAGAUGACCGCUUUAUUGUCAGCAACAUGUUAAGAAAUCCCCUUUGCACUGCUCCUAAAGCUCGUGCGCGUCUUUUUGAGGUGAUAAAUAGUGUGAGUGAACGUACCAUUAGAAGAAGACUGGCAGAAAGAUAUUUGAGGGCUUUCCGUCCAGCUCGCGCCACACAACUUAUAACGGUCCGAAAUUCGUUGUAUUUCUGCUCCAACCCUGUAUACCAAAGUUAUUUGAAAUUUCAAUCUAGUUUACAUUUGUAACACUUUCGCUACGCCCUGUAUAUUGAAUCGAAGAAUCGUAGUUCCUAACAGAUCUUUCGUAUGACUUGAUUCACUUCUCACGAUGUUGGAUGUUUGUUUCGUUGAUCGUACGAUUCUCUGAAAUUUGGCGUAGAUAUCUAAAGUACCCCAAAUUGUUUAUAUUCUACAGAGGAGGCGACAAUGCUUCAAACAGGUUUUGAUGGUUUUCGGAGGAGAUCAUAAAUUCUCUAAUAAUGUAUUUCUGCCGGCUUUGAGACUGAAAAGUGUUUAUAUUAUAGAGAUAAUAGCUUUGAGUAAACAACAAGUGUUACCCAUUGAGCACACGUGCGAAAUUGCUGACUUAAGUGUUUUUCGUGGGAAUAACAUUCUCUAUUAGAGCCCAGAAAAAAUCGCUUACCGAUUAUGGAAGGUUUCUUAUUGGUGGAGAAAUUUUGCAUGGCGUCAAAUUAGGGGUUUGGCGUAGUAUGAUUUUGGUUUCCUUAUUGGUUGAGAUUGGAUUAUGAGCGUUUUGAAUCUGUAAUUGGUCGAUGGGAUGGAUCCUGUGAUGAUUUUGCAAAGGGCAUUUUGGUUAGAGUUUGAGAAGAUCAAGUUAGGGAGUUCUGUUGGGUCCGUCACCAAGAAGAGUUCUAAAGUCUAGUUUGGAGUUGCAGUGACGUUAAAAUGUAGUUACCAGUUCUCAGGCCGGCGGAGAACUCAGCGCGGCGAUGCAGUGUGGUGUGAUAAAUGGAACUCCGGCAAUUUUCGUUGCUGUCAAGCGAAUUGUCGAUAAUUUAUAAAUACCAUUUUUGGUAUUCCUUUUUUUAUGCAGUCAGAUCCAGGGAUUAUGCAGAAUUCUUUUCGUGUUCAAAUACCCUAGUUAAAGCGAAGUUUGCUUUCAUUUUAGUAUUUUUGAUCCAGUUUAAUGAACUAGAUCAGCGGUUCUCAAUCUGUGGUACAUGUACCACUGGUGGUACAUAUCAUUAUUUGAGGUGGUACACAAAACGCAAAAAUAGCCAAAAUCAGCACCAAUAUUAUAGUUAAUUAGAUCACCAUGGUAGAUAGGUAUUUCAGUUAGGUGGUGCCAAAAAUAUUAAAAAAAUAUUUGGUGGUACAUGACUCAAAAAGAUUGAGAACCGCUGAACUAGAUAACAAGAUUGUUUUAAAUAUUUUUGUUCGAGUACCUAAGUGCUAAUUUUCUAUAUAAAUUUUUUUUACGAACUAUGGUUCAUCAAAUAUGUACUGUUGCUGUAUCUAUUAAUAUUGUGGAGUGACUUUUGUGAUGUGAAAUCGCGCCUUGGACAACCACAGGAAGAUUCAAGGACAAUGAUUACAAGGAUUAGUCUCUACUCCCAUUCAGGAAGAAUCAGUUUCUGGAAAAUCUUAAAUAUAGUGUAAAAAAACAAGAAAAUCGAGCGGGAUGCAUAUCAGGAUGUUUAUGAGUUGUCAACCAGAUGAAUAAGAAUAUUAUAUUAGAUGGGUCCAUAUAUACAGGGUGUUUGGUAACGAAUGGGACAUAGCUUAACCUUUUAUUCCUGAGCUUAAAAUAGGUCGAUUUAAACUAACUUAUCUUUGUACGAAAGUUAAUAACUAAAAUACAGGGUGUCAAAGUUA